rnacentral:rRNA from 1 species
GGACGGGUGAGUAAUGUCUGGGAAACUGCCUGAUGGAGGGGGGAUAACUACUGGAAACGGUAGCUAAUACCGCAUAACGUCGCAAGACCAAAGAGGGGGACCUUCGGGCCUCUUGCCAUCAGAUGUGCCCAGAUGGGAUUAGCUAGUAGGUGGGGUAACGGCUCACCUAGGCGACGAUCCCUAGCUGGUCUGAGAGGAUGACCAGCCACACUGGAACUGAGACACGGUCCAGACUCCUACGGGAGGCAGCAUG